GAUGAACGCUGACAGAAUGCUUAACACAUGCAAGUCUACUUGAAUUUGGGUUUUUUAACUUAGAUUUGGGUGGCGGACGGGUGAGUAACGCGUAAAGAACUUGCCUCACAGCUAGGGACAACAUUUGGAAACGAAUGCUAAUACCUGAUAUUAUGAUUAUAAGGCAUCUUAGAAUUAUGAAAGCUAUAUGCGCUGUGAGAGAGCUUUGCGUCCCAUUAGCUAGUUGGAGAGGUAACGGCUCACCAAGGCGAUGAUGGGUAGCCGGCCUGAGAGGGUGAACGGCCACAAGGGGGCUGAGACACGGCCCUUACUCCUACGGGAGGCAGCAGUGGGGAAUAUUGGACAAUGGACCAAGAGUCUGAUCCAGCAAUUCUGUGUGCACGAUGACGUUUUUCGGAAUGUAAAGUGCUUUCAGUUGGGAAGAAAAAAAUGACGGUACCAACAGAAGAAGUGACGGCUAAAUACGUG
rnacentral:rRNA from 1 species